rnacentral:tRNA from 1 species
UCUAAUAUGGCAGAAUAGUGCCAUGGAUUUAAGCUUCAUAAAUAAAGAAUAAUCUUUUAUUAGAA